rnacentral:rRNA from 1 species
GCUUCUUUUUCCCCGGAGCUUGCUCCACCGGAAAAAGAGGAGUGGCGAACGGGUGAGUAACACGUGGGUAACCUGCCCAUCAGAAGGGGAUAACACUUGGAAACAGGUGCUAAUACCGUAUAACAAUCGAAACCGCAUGGUUUUGAUUUGAAAGGCGCUUUCCGGUGUCGCUGAUGGAUGGACCCGCGGUGCAUUAGCUAGUUGGUGAGGUAACCGCUCACCCAGGGCACGAUGCAUAGCCCACCUGAGAGGGUGAUCGGGCACAUUUGGGACUGAGACACGGCCCCAACUCCUACGGGAGGCAGCAGUAGGGAAUCUUCGGCAAUGGACGAAAGUCUGACCGAGCAACGCCGCGUGAGUGAAGAAGGUUUUCGGAUCGUAAAACUCUGUUGUUAGAGAAGAACAAGGAUGAGAGUAACUGUUCAUCCCUUGACGGUAUCUAACCAGAAAGCCACGGCUAACUACGUGCCAGCAGCCGCGGUAAUACGUAGGUGGCAAGCGUUGUCCGGAUUUAUUGGGCGUAAAGCGAGCGCAGGCGGUUUCUUAAGUCUGAUGUGAAAGCCCCCGGCUCAACCGGGGAGGGUCAUUGGAAACUGGGAGACUUGAGUGCAGAAGAGGAGAGUGGAAUUCCAUGUGUAGCGGUGAAAUGGUAGAUAUAUGGAGGAACCCAGUGGCGAGGCGGCUCUCUGGUC